CGGGAGCUUGCACAGGUGCUGCAUGGCUGUCGUCAGCUCGUGUCGUGAGAUGUUCGGUUAAGUCCGCUAACGAGCGCAACCCUCGCUGUGUGUUACAAGUGUCACACGGAACUGCCGGUCAUAAACCGGGAGGAAGGUGGGAUGACGUCAAGUCAGCAUGGCCUUUAUAUCCUGGGCUACACACACGCUACAAUGGGAAGGGACAAUAGGUUGCGAAGCCGCGAGGCGGAGCCAAUCCAGCAAAACUUCCCUCAGUUCAGAUUGCAGGCUGCAACUCGCCUGCAUGAAGUUGGAGUUGCUAGUAAACGCAGGUCAGCCAUACUGCGUUGAAUACGUUCCCGGGGCUU
rnacentral:rRNA from 1 species